CACCAGACUCCUACGGGAGGCAGCAGUGGGGAAUAUUGCACAAUGGGGGAAACCCUGAUGCAGCGACGCCGCGUGAGUGAAGAAGUAUUUCGGUAUGUAAAGCUCUAUCAGCAGGGAAGAAAAUGACGGUACCUGACUAAGAAGCCCCGGCUAAAUACGUGCCAGCAGCCGCGGUAAUACGUAUGGGGCAAGCGUUAUCCGGAUUUACUGGGUGUAAAGGGAGCGCAGGCGGCUUGGCAAGUCUGAUGUGAAAGGCUGGGGCUCAACCCCAGGACUGCAUUGGAAACUGUUAGGCUGGAGUGUCGGAGAGGUAAGCGGAAUUCCUAGUGUAGCGGUGAAAUGCGUAGAUAUUAGGAGGAACACCAGUGGCGAAGGCGGCUUGCUGGGCUUUUACUGACGCUGAGGCUCGAAAGCGUGGGGAGCAAACAGGAUUAGAUACCCGUGUA
rnacentral:rRNA from 1 species